CGAUGACGUCACCGCAGGUCCUUCCGCUCUCUAUUCCCAUGGAGAAGCUGCCCCCGGCCGCCAUGAUGGAGGCUCCCCUCCCAGGUUCUGACUCCAGGAGAAGUCCCCCCGAGAGAUGUCCCCGUCCUCUGUAUUCCCAGGACUGUCCAGAGGAGAAGCUCCCAGAGAACCAUCAGAUGACAAAUCAGGGGGAAGAUGUGACUGAUAUUAAAGUGGAGG